rnacentral:rRNA from 1 species
UACAGAGGUCUCAAGCGUUGUUCGGAUUCAUUGGGCGUAAAGGGUGCGUAGGUGGCGCCGUAAGUCGGGGUGUGAAAUUUCGGAGCUUAACUCCGAAACUGCAUUCGAUACUGCGGUGCUUGAGGACUGGAGAGGAGACUGGAAUUCGAUGGUGUAGCAGUGAAAUGCGUAGAGAUCAUGAGGAAGACCAGUGGCGAAGGCGGGUCUCUGGACAGUUCCUGACACUGAGGCACGAAGGCCAGGGGAGCAAACGGG